GGGGGCAUAGCUCAGUUGGGAGAGCAGCAGACUGAAGUGUCUGAAUGAUCAAGUCGUUCUGAAGGUCCCGCGUUCAAUCCGCGGUGCCCCCA